CCUACGGGAGGCAACAGUGAGGAAUAUUGGUCAAUGGACGAGAGUCUGAACCAGCCAAGUAGCGUGAAGGAUGACUGCCCUAUGGGUUGUAAACUUCUUUUAUAUGGGAAUAAAAUGUUCCACGUGUGGGAUUUUGUAUGUACCAUAUGAAUAAGGAUCGGCUAACUCCGUGCCAGCAGCCGCGGUAAUACGGAGGAUCCGAGCGUUAUCCGGAUUUAUUGGGUUUAAAGGGAGCGUAGGUGGAUUGUUAAGUCAGUUGUGAAAGUUUGGGGCUCAACCGUAAAAUUGCAGUUGAUACUGGCAGGCUGGAGUACAGUAGCGGUAGGCGGAAUUCGUGGUGUAGCGGUGAAAUGCUUAGAUAUCAUAAAGAACUCCGAUUGCGAAGGCAGCUCACUGAACUGCAACUGACACUGAGGCUCGAAAGUGUGGGUAUCAAACAGGAUUAGAUACCCGGGUAGUC
rnacentral:rRNA from 1 species